UACAGAGUUUGCGAGCGUUACUCGGAAUUACUGGGCGAAAAGCGCACGCAAGCGGUCUGUCAAGUCGGACGUGAAAUCCCCGGGCUCAACCUGGGUACUGCAUCCGAAACUGGCAGGCUAGAGUCUUGUAGAGGGGGGUAGAAUUCCAGGUGUAGCGGUGAAAUGCGUAGAGAUCUGGAGGAAUACCGGUGGCGAAGGCGGCCCCCUGGACAAAGACUGACGCUCAGGUGCGAAAGCGUGGGGAGCAAACAGG
rnacentral:misc_RNA from 1 species